rnacentral:rRNA from 1 species
UAGGGAAUCUUCGGCAAUGGACGAAAGUCUGACCGAGCAACGCCGCGUGAGUGAAGAAGGUUUUCGGCUCGUAAAACUCUGUUGUUAGAGAAGAACAAGGACGUUAGUAACUGAACGUCCCCUGACGGUAUCUAACCAGAAAGCCACGGCUAACUACGUGCCAGCAGCCGCGGUAAUACGUAGGUGGCAAGCGUUGUCCGGAUUUAUUGGGCGUAAAGCGAGCGCAGGCGGUUUCUUAAGUCUGAUGUGAAAGCCCCCGGCUCCACCGGGGAGGGUCAGUAGAAACUGGGAGACUUGAGUGCAGAAGAGGAGAGUGGAAUUCCAUGUGUAGCGGUGAAAUGCGUAGAUAUAUAGAGGAACACCAGUGGCGAAGGCGGCUCUCUGGUCUGUAACUGACGAUGAGGCUCGAAAGGGUGGGGAGCAAACAGG